AGGAUCAUUACUGAAUUGUCAACACGAGUUGUUGCUGGUCCUCAAAUGGGGGCAUGUGCACGCUCUGUUCACACAUCCACUCACACCUGUGCACCCUCUGUAGUUCUGUGGCUUGGGGGGCUCUGUCCUCCUGCUGUGGUUCUAUAUCUUUACACACACUCUGUAAUAAAGUCUCAUGGAAUGUAUGCCGCGUUUAACGCAAUAUAAUACAACUUUCAGCAACGGAUCUCUUGGCUCUCGCAUCGAUGAAGAACGCAGCGAAAUGCGAUAAGUAAUGUGAAUUGCAGAAUUCAGUGAAUCAUCGAAUCUUUGAACGCACCUUGCGCCCUUUGGCUAUUCCGAAGGGCAUGCCUGUUUGAGUAUCAUGAACACCUCAACUCUUAUGGUUCGCCAUGAUGAGCUUGGACUUUGGGGGUCUUGCUGGCCUGCGGUCAGCUCCUCUCAAAUAAAUCAGCUUUCCAGUGUUUGGUGGCGUCACAGGUGUGAUAACUAUCUACGCUUGUGGUUUUCUGCCAGGUAACCUUCAGCAAUGGGGGUUCGCUGGGGCUCAUAAAUGUCUCUCCUCAGUGAAGACACCUUUGUGAACAUUUGAUCUCAAAUCAGGUAGGACUACCCGCUGAACUUAAGCAU
rnacentral:rRNA from 1 species